CACACACACACACACACACAAAACAUAAAAUUAUCAUACUUAACUAGUUUAAUAAGUAAAAAAAAGCAUAUUGAAAAAAAAAACAUAUUAUUUGUUCUAUAAGGGAAAUAGAAAGCAGAAAAUAAUAAGGUUAUAAAAAGGAAAUGAAAUUUAAAGAAACAAUAAUCAACUCCAUUUUGUUAGGGCUUAGAACAAGCAUUUGAUGAAAAAGGCACUAAACUCUUUAAUAGAUAAGACUUAUAUAAGACAAGAAAAUUUACAUAUGUGGAAAGUAAUAUUCUAGCUUAAUCAGAUCUUGUAUUACAGCCAAAAUGGAUAAUGUCAAAUAUAUACUGUUAGAAUCUCUAAAUCUUUCCUAAUUAUUUUUAUUCCUUAUUUGAGGAAUAGUUGACUUAGGAAUUCACCAGCUAUAUAAUCAUUUGGCUGUAUAAUCCUUAAUUUAGAUCCUAAUUUGUCGUAAUCUCUUAUUAGCUGUAUAAUUCCUGAUUUAUUUUCCAAUUUGCUGUAAUCCUUGAUUAGUUGCUUUUUUCCUUGUUUAGUUAGGUCUUCUUGGUGUAUAAAUUCUUUUUGCACGUGUAACUUAAAAAAAAAGGAAAAAAAA
rnacentral:misc_RNA from 1 species